GGUCAACUCAAAGCCUUCCCUUUUCCAGGCUGAAAAGUCUCAAUUCUCUCAGCAUUUCCUCAUAGAAGAGGUUUUCCAUCCCUCUGAUCAAUUUGGUGGCCUCCAUCUGGACACA